CUUAAAUGCUCUAUGUGAAAUACCCUGGAGGGUGAGUAAAUCAGUGGGCAUAAGCAUAGGUGUCUUGUGUCCUGAUUGAACUAUAAAAAACGACAAAAGCAGCCAUUGAGCACUACAAUGUCUGAACAUCUCUUAUUGUUCUGUGACCUUUUUUUGCAUAGACAUUGAAAUGCAUAAUAUGUUUUUCAUAGCUUGUGUCCUUAAUGACAUCACAGAUUCAGUGAAAAAGGUAAAUUAGCUUUCCACUAAACAGUGCAUAUCAUGCUGUGACCUAAACAUUAACAGAUUUAAUUAAUAAUGCGAGGAUUCCAAGC